CCUACGGGAGGCAGCAGUGAGGAAUAUUGGUCAAUGGUCGGGAGACUGAACCAGCCAAGCCGCGUGAGGGAGGAAGGUACAGAGUAUCGUAAACCUCUUUUGUCAGGGAACAAAGGCGGGGACGUGUCCCCGGAUGAGUGUACCUGAAGAAAAAGCAUCGGCUAACUCGGUCCCAGCAGCCGCGGUAAUAGGGGGGAUGCGAGGGUUAUCGGGUUUUAUUGGGUUAAAGGGGUGGGUAGGCGGUUUGUUAAGUCAGCGGUCAAAGCCCGGGGCCAAACCCCGGCCCGCCGUUGAAACUGGCAGUCUCGAGUUGGAGAGAAGUAUGCGGAAUGCGCGGUGUAGCGGUGAAAUGCAUAGAUAUCGCGCAGAACUCCGAGUGCGAAGGCAGCAUGCCGGCUCCACACUGACGCUGAGGCACGAAAGCGUGGGUAGCGAACAGGAUUAGAUACCCGAGUAGUC
rnacentral:rRNA from 1 species